rnacentral:misc_RNA from 1 species
CUAAACAAAUGAAAGAUGUACACUGCAUUGUAGUCCCAUAAGGCAUUAGGGGUUGGCCGAGCCACCAAAAUGGACCCAAGGUCUUUCCCGAUUUGCUUAGUCAUAUCAUGAACAAAGGCAACUUCUGCAUGCAAAUAUUUCUAUGCGGUAAUCCUUGACCGACCUUUUGCUAUUCUUCGAGCAAUGACUUUCCUUCCACCCUUGGUUGCCUUGCGUGCAAAGAAACCAUGAUUUCUCUUACGCCU